rnacentral:tRNA from 1 species
GUGGCCAUGGUGUAGUGGUAACACAGAGGCUUGUGGAGCCUUUAUCUCGGGUUCGAGUCCCGAUGGCCACCCCA